AACGUAGGAGACAAACGUUAUCCGGAGUUACUGGGCGUAAAGGGCGUGUAGGUGGUUUCGUAAGUCUGGCGUGAAAUAUCUCGGCUUAACCGAGGCAGGUCGUCGGAUACUGCGGAACUAGAGGACGGUAGAGGCGUGUGGAAUUCCGGGUGUAGUGGUGAAAUGCGUAGAGAUCGGGAAGAACAUCAGUGGCGAGGGCGGCCUGCUGGGCUGUUGCUGACGCUGAGGCGCGACAGCGUGGGGGAGCAAACAGGG
rnacentral:rRNA from 1 species